UAGGCCUAUAGUUUUAUUUUUCCGUGAUCGGGAUCGAGUGCCCCGCGGGGUUUUCUGAAAGUGUGCACGGGGAACACACGUGUUUCCGUUUCAACGAAAACAACACAGCUUCACUGUAACAGCGAAGGAUUGUAUUUUACAUCUUUAAAGCGACCUGAUGUCAGAAGAAGAUGCCCUGGAAUUUAUGUUGCAGGAUGACCCAAACGAUCAUGCAUUCAGUAUAAACAUGUACAUGGUAUUGACAUCCCAAUAUUUAGUGGGAAGUUCCCAGGUAUCGUCCGCUAGUGACAGUUUGCUGGCAAAUCCAGGCAUGCGAUGGAAGGAUGCUUAUGUGAAGGACACAGGGACACCUGAUCCAAGAACUGUGGCAUUUCAUUCAGAGUGACAACCUGACAUUCAGUUGAUACGGGACCCGAUUAUUCAGAGAACUGUAGAUUUUAGGAAGCUGUUUUUGACAGAAGAUUUGGUUUUCUCCAUCUGUUUUGCCACCAACCAUUAUGCUGAGAUGGUCAUAUCUAGGGGGAAGGAUUGUCAUUAUGCUUCCCAAGGAAGUUCGCAUCCUCUCACUGAAGAGUAAUUGUACAGGUAGUACUAGUUUUAAAGUACCGAUAUUGUGAGUGAUUUUCAGUUUA